rnacentral:rRNA from 1 species
AUUCUUCGGAUGAAGAUUUUUGUGACUGAGUGGCGGACGGGUGAGUAACGCGUGGGUAACCUGCCUCAUACAGGGGGAUAACAGUUGGAAACGACUGCUAAAACCGCAUAAGCACACGGUAUCGCAUGAUACAGUGUGAAAAACUCCGGUGGUGUGAGAUGGAUCCGCGUCUGAUUAGGUAGUUGGUGGGGUAACGGCCCACCAAGCCGACGAUCAGUAGCCGGCCUGAGAGGGUGACCGGCCACAUUGGGACUGAGACACGGUCCAUACUCC